GUCGCUUCUCUGCCUUUUGACUAAGAUCACGUUCUUGUUAGUUUAAUAUCUGACACAUUAGGUAGACUUUUGAAGCAGUGAGAUGGAAUGGGAGCUUACUCUGUUCACUUCACGCAUCAAACUGGUAUUGCAGUAUGGUCUGCUUCCUUUGGAGAACAAUU
rnacentral:snRNA from 1 species